UACGGAGGGGGCUAGCGUUGUUCGGAAUUACUGGGCGUAAAGCGCACGUAGGCGGCUUUGUAAGUUAGAGGUGAAAGCCCGGGGCCCAACUCCGGAAUUGCCUUUAAGACUGCAUCGCUAGAAUUGUGGAGAGGUAAGUGGAAUUCCGAGUGUAGAGGUGAAAUUCGUAGAUAUUCGGAAGAACACCAGUGGCGAAGGCGACUUACUGGACACAUAUUGACGCUGAGGUGCGAAAGCGUGGGGAGCAAACAGG
rnacentral:rRNA from 1 species